AAGGAUCAUUACAAGUUAAAGUUAGUUGUGCGUAAGGUUGAGUGGGUGGAGUCUCGAAAACCUAAUCGGGGAACGUUUUCUGAUCGCCAGCCGCCCCCGCGGCCUGCCUACUCGCCUUAUGCCUGCUACUAUACACGCGUGUUGUGUUUGACAGAGUUAUAUGUUUACAUAAUGAAUGAAAACUUUUAACAAUGGAUCUCUUGGUUCUC
rnacentral:misc_RNA from 1 species